CUACCGGGGUUUCUAAUCCUGUUUGCUCCCCUAGCUUUCGUGCCUCAGCGUCAGUUAUGGUCCAGUGAGCCGCUUUCGCCACAGGUGUUCCUUCCGAUAUCUACGCAUUUCACCGCUACACCGGAAAUUCCACUCACCUCUCCCACACUCAAGCCCGGCAGUUUCUCAUGCAGACUUCAAGUUGAGCCUGAAGAUUUCACAUAAGACUUACCGAACCGCCUACGCACCCUUUACGCCCAAUAAUUCCGAACAACGCUUGCCCCCCUCGUAUUACCGCGGCUGCUGGCAC
rnacentral:rRNA from 1 species